rnacentral:rRNA from 1 species
GAUGAACGCUGGCGGCGUGCCUAAUACAUGCAAGUCGAGCGAACGGACGAGAAGCUUGCUUCUCUGAUGUUAGCGGCGGACGGGUGAGUAACACGUGUAUAACCUACCUAUAAGACUGGGAUAACUUCGGGAAACCGGAGCUAAUACCGGAUAAUAUUUUGAACCGCAUUGUUCAAAAGUAAAAGACGGUCUUUCUGUCACUUAUAGAUGGAUCCGCGCUGCAUUAGCUAGUUGGUAAGGUAACGGCUUACCAAGGCAACGAUGCAUAGCCGACCUGAGAGGGUGAUCGGCCACACUGGAACUGAGACACGGUCCAGACGCCUGAGGGAGGCAGCAGUAGGGAAUCUUCCGCAAAGGGCGAAAGCCUGACGGAGCAACGCCGCGUGAGUGAUGAAGGUCUUCGGAUCGUAAAACUCUGUUAUUAGGGAAGAACAUAUGUGUAAGUAACUGUGCACAUCGUGACGGUACCUAAUCAGAAAGCCACGGCUAACUACGUG